GCUUGUCUCAAAGAUUAAGCCAUGCAUGUCUAAGUAUAAACAACUUUAUACUGUAAAACUGCGAACGGCUCAUUAUAUCAGCAAUAAUUUAUUUGAUGGUUUCUUACCCCAUGGAUAACUGUGGUAAUUCUAGAGCUAAUACAUGCGUAAAGUCCCGACUCUUUCUGGGGAGGGAUGUAUUUAUUAGAUACAAAACCAAUGCGGAGCAAUCCGGUUUGUGGUGAUUCAUAAUAACUUUGCGAAUCGCAUGGCCUUGCGCCGGCGAUGAAUCAUUCAAAUUUCUGCCCUAUCAACUUUCGAUGGUAAGGUAUUGGCCUACCAUGGUUACAACGGGUAACGGGGAAUUAGGGUUCGGUUCCGGAGAGGGCGCCUGAGAAAUGGCGACCACAUCCAAGGAAGGCAGCAGG
rnacentral:rRNA from 1 species